UACAGAGGGGGCAAGCGUUGUUCGGAAUUACUGGGCGUAAAGGGCGCGUAGGCGGCCUGUUAAGUCGAACGUGAAAUCCCCGGGCUCAACCCGGGAACUGCGUCCGAUACUGGCAGGCUUGAAUCCGGGAGAGGGAUGCGGAAUUCCAGGUGUAGCGGUGAAAUGCGUAGAUAUCUGGAGGAACACCGGUGGCGAAGGCGGCAUCCUGGACCGGCAUUGGCGCUGAGGCGCGAAAGCCAGGGGAGCAAACGGG
rnacentral:rRNA from 1 species